rnacentral:tRNA from 1 species
GCGAGAGUAAUUCAGUGGUAGAAUGCGUCCUUCCCAAGGACGACGUCGCGGGUUCAAAUCCCGUCUCUCGCU